UGUCUCGAUAGCUCAGAUGGUUAGAGCAUGGGACUCUUAAUCUUCAGGGUUGUGGGUUCGAGCCCCACAUUGGGUAA